GAGCUCAGUUGGUUAGAGCAUGAUGCUGAUAACGCCAAGGUUGCAGGUUCGAUCCCCGCAUGGGACA
rnacentral:tRNA from 1 species